CUUCUCGGUAGUCCCCUCUAGGAGUGAGUAGGAUGAUGGACCUAGCAGAAGCAAAUGAUUCCCAUGGGUCCCAGGCUACGGGCCUGGGCAGAUUUCACCCACAGGCCUGGAGAAGCAGAGCAUCAGGUCUUGAAAGCAAAAGACAAGAGGAAACCAGCCACCUUCCUGAACUAACUAAACCCCAGCCUUGACCAUGACUGAGACAAGCAAGACAUGAGCAUCACCUGGCCAGGAGGGUCCUCAGAGCGCAGAUUAAGAGCAGGAGGUCUGAGUUCAGCUCAUGGGGGUCAAACCCCAUAACUAGCUGGGGGAUGCCGGGCAAACUUCCUUCCUUGUUAAGUUUCAGUUCCCUCUUUUGUAUGAUAAGAUUUCGUGAUGCUUCUUCACAAGACUGUUUGGAAGAUUAAAUGAAACAAUUCAUGGAAACAGAAUGCCUGACACUGAGUGGGUCCUCAGUAUUGGCUUUAAAUACAACCUGAAAUAGAAGAAAAUAGGAGCAUAAACUGAGAGAACCCAAGAGGAAAGGCGUGGAUUCUCUGAUCAUUCAAGUGUGCAAGUGCCCCAUCUGAAUCAUUUUGCUGCUAAAAACACCCUCGUCUCACAGUCCUUCACCACCCAGUUGCACUAGACUGAGGGUUUGAGAUGGCAAGAGCAAUGCUGUGUGGGCCUCAGGAAGUCAAGCAUAUCCAGAACCGGCCACGUAGACCUGGUGUGGCUGUUUUACAUGGGCUCAGACAGACCUGCCAUUAGGAGCAUUCCAGACCAGAGCUCAGCUGCUCCGAAGAGCAAUAAUUAAAUCAGCAGACUGUGACGUCUGCUUUGGGUUCCUUUCACACCUGUCUGUCAGCGGGAUUACUGGCUAAAAGAAAGUCUUGGCUGGGCCCAGACUGGGAACGAGACCACCAGAAUUCCAGAGGAUCUGCUUCCAGAACUUACAAGUGGGUCUGGGUGGCACAAAGCUGGACCACUGAAGCUACUGUGAUGAGCAGCCAAGAUGCCCUUAUAGGGCUAAAGGACUUAUUCCCUCAGCUGCUACAAGCACUGCCAGCUGAGAACCCCCUUCAGCAUCGCCUUGGUGGUAGAGGGUUGCCUCACCCCAAAUCACACCCUCUCCCUGGGACAACUUGCACCCAACUUGACUUGACUCAGGAGGAUAACCCAACUUGACUCAGGUGACUGUACCAUCACCACCACUCAGGAUGACUCUGAAGGGCUGAGCUUGCCACGGGGUUGGUUCAGUUGACAAGGGCUUUGUUACCACUGCACCUGCCCUGACUUUCCCCUCAGCCCAGUCCUAAUCCUUCCUUCUGCAGAUGUCCAUCCCAAGAGCACCCCCUAAUCCACCUUCCACUCUGCAUGCUGGUCCCUCCUCCGUCUGGUAUACUGGCAUACAGCCAAGAACCCCAGCACACGUCUGGUAAAAUAAAUACACCUCCUGAAGUUUGUUCACUCUGUAUGUAUUACUGACUGAUACUAAAAACUUAAAUAAUAUUAUUAGAGCAGAUUGAAAUGAUCCCCUCCUCCGUAUACACCAACCUCAGGGAGAAGCCCUGGAGUCACCUCUAGGAAGCCCUUGGGGGUUCUGAAAACCAAGAGUUUAGGUCCUCACUCAAGGCAGAAGGGAAUCCCACAGGGACACUGGCCCAGUGCCAGAAUGUCGGCAUCUGACCUCGCUUCUGUUCAAUGAGCUGAGGCGCCCACCUUCUCCUCUCACUGCCUCACUCUCAUCCAUCUGAACUACCCGGCCUCCUCCCCAGGUGGUAUAAGAGAGCAAGUGAGAUCUUCAAAUGUUGUAUUUGGAAGGACAUUUUAAAUGGUAAAGGGCUAUACAAAAAUAAGGGAGUAUCAUUUAGCAGAUGGCCCA
ensembl:lncRNA